rnacentral:miRNA from 1 species
UUGUUACAAUGCAGAUUCUGAUUCAGCAGGUCUAGGGGCAAGGCCUGGGAUUCUGCAUUUCUAACAAGUUC